AUUGACGCUAGCGGGAUGCCUUAAAAAUGCAAGUCCAACGGAGUGGCGAACGGGUGAGUAAUGUAUCGGAACGUGCCCAGUAGCGGGGGAUAACUACGCGAAAGCGUAGCUAAUACCGCAUACUAUUGGAGCGGCCGAUAUCGGAUUAGCUAGGAGGUGGGGUAACGGCUCACCUAGGCGACGAUCCCUAGCUGGUCUGAGAGGAUGACCAGCCACACUGGAACUGAGGCACGGUCCAUACUCCUACGGGAGGCAGCAGUGGGGAAUAUUGCACAAUGGGCGCAAGCCGGAUGCAGCCAUGCCGGGUGUAUGAAGAAGGCCUUCGGGUUGUAAAGUACUUUCAGCGGGGAGGCGUUACCCGCAGAAGAAGCACCGGCUAACUCCGUGCCAGCAGCCGCGGUAAUUC
rnacentral:rRNA from 1 species